AUUGAACGCUGGCGGCAUGCCUAACACGUGCAAGUCGCACGCGAAAGGGGGCAACCCUGAGUAGAGUGGCGGACGGGUGAGUAACGCGUAGGAAUCUACCUGGUAGUGGGGGACAACCCGGUGAAAACCGGGCUAAUACCGCAUACGAUCCACGGAUGAAAGCAGGGGACCGCAAGGCCUUGCGCUAUCAGAUGAGCCUGCGUCGGAUUAGCUAGUUGGUGGGGUAAAGGCCCACCAAGGCGACGAUCCGUAGCUGGUUUGAGAGAACGACCAGCCACACUGGGACUGAGACUCGGCCCAGACUCCUACGGGAGGCAGCAGUGGGGAUUAUUGGACAAUGGGGGCAACCCUGAUCCAGCAAUGCCGCGUGUGUGAAGAAGGCCUUCGGGUUGUGAAGCACUUUCGGUGGGGACAAACAAGGUGGAGCUAACAUCUCCGCCUCUGAUGGUACCCAAAGAAGAAGCACCGGCUAACUCUGUGCCAGCCGCCGCGGUAA
rnacentral:rRNA from 1 species